rnacentral:rRNA from 1 species
UACGGAGGGUGCAAACGUUGUUCGGAAUCAUUGGGCGUAAAGCGCUCGUAGGCGGGUCAUCAAGUCUGAUGUGAAAUCCCUCGGCUUAACCGAGGACGUGCAUUCGAAACUGAUGGUCUUGAGUACGAAAGAGGAUCGCGGAAUUCCCGGUGUAGAGGUGAAAUUCGUAGAUAUCGGGAGGAACACCAGUGGCGAAGGCGGCGAUCUGGGUCGAUACUGACGCUGAGGUGCGAAAGCGUGGGGAGCAAACAGG